CCGACCUUGUGCGGCAUCUUUCCAGACUCCCCCAGCAGUCGACCUUCCACAGUGUCCUCCAGAUUCCUCCAACGGACGAACUCCUAUCGUGCCAUCCGGACUUCUCCAAUAAUAAGCUCCUCCAUUCAUUUACCAGACUGCUCUAAAUGCUCUCUGAGCUUUACUAUCAGUCGAUUUUCUACAGUGAUCGACUACUCUUCGAAUCUCUUUCAGACUUCUUCCAGCCACGAUCGACUUUACUCCGAACUUCUUUCGAACUUCGUCAAUGACCGAGCUUCUCCAGUAGCAGGACUUCUAUAGCAACUAGACUCCAUCCAAGUUUCUACGAUGGUCGAUCACCUUCCGAAUUUCAUCCGAGCUUCUACAAUAAGAAGUCUCCAUCCGAGCUUCCAUGGCAACCGAUCUUCGUCCGAGCUUCUACAAUAAGCGGCCUCCUUCCGAACUCCUACAAGAACCAAACUCCGUCCAAACUUCUACAAUAGAAUUGAAUUUCAGACUCCUCCAGCGAUCAACCUUCCACAGUAUCCUCAAGACUCCUCCAACGGACGAACUUCCACAACGCCUUCCGAACUCCACUAUCGAUCGACCUUCUGCUGG
rnacentral:lncRNA from 1 species